UACGAAGGGGGCUAGCGUUGCUCGGAAUUACUGGGCGUAAAGCGCACGUAGGCGGCUUUCUAAGUCGGGGGUGAAAUCCUGGAGCUCAACUCCAGAACUGCCUUCGAUACUGGAGAGCUUGAGUCCGGGAGAGGGAUGCAGAAUUCCAGGUGUAGCGGUGAAAUGCGUAGAUAUCUGGAGGAAUACCGGUGGCGAAGGCGGCAUCCUGGACCGGCAUUGACGCUGAGGAGCGAAAGCUAGGGGAGCAAACGGG
rnacentral:rRNA from 1 species